CAUACCAUUUGCAAAAGUAGACAACCCAAGGUAUUACAAAUGGGGUAUGUCCCAUUUGUCCCAGUUUUUUUAGUUGCCACUUAGUCAUAAACACUGGCCAAAGUGAUCGUUUAUAUAUGUUGGUGUGUGAAAAAUGAAAUUUAAAUGCUAAUUUUGGCCAGUGCUUGUGACUAAGUGGCUACUAAAAAGAACUGGACAUACCCCAUUUGCAAUACCUUGGGUUGUCUACUUUUGCAAAUGGUAUA